rnacentral:rRNA from 1 species
UGGCGAGUGGCGAACGGGUGAGUAACAUAUCGGAACGUACCGGGUAGCGGGGGAUAACUGAUCGAAAGAUCAGCUAAUACCGCAUACGUCUUGAGAGGGAAAGCAGGGGACCUUCGGGCCUUGCGCUAUCCGAGCGGCCGAUAUCUGAUUAGCUGGUUGGCGGGGUAAAGGCCCACCAAGGCGACGAUCAGUAGCGGGUCUGAGAGGAUGAUCCGCCACACUGGGACUGAGACACGGCCCAGACUCCUACGGGAGGCAGCAGUGGGGAAUUUUGGACAAUGGGCGCAAGCCUGAUCCAGCCAUGCCGCGUGUCUGAAGAAGGCCUUCGGGUUGUAAAGGACUUUUGUCAGGGAAGAAAAGGCCGUUGCCAAUAUCGGCGGCCGAUGACGGUACCUGAAGAAUAAGCACCGGCUAACUACGUGCCAGCAGCCGCGGUAAUACGUAGGGUGCGAGCGUUAAUCGGAAUUACUGGGCGUAAAGCGGGCGCAGACGGUUACUUAAGCAGGAUGUGAAAUCCCCGGGCUCAACCCGGGAACUGCGUUCUGAACUGGGUGACUCGAGUGUGUCAGAGGGAGGUGGAAUUCCACGUGUAGCAGUGAAAUGCGUAGAGAUGUGGAGGAAUACCGAUGGCGAAGGCAGCCUCCUGGGAUAACACUGACGUUCAUGUCCGAAAGCGUGGGUAGCAAACAGGAUUAGAUACCCUGGUAGUCCACGCCCUAAACGAUGUCAAUUAGCUGUUGGGCAACUUGAUUGCUUGGUAGCGUAGCUAACGCGUGAAAUUGACCGCCUGGGGAGUACGGUCGCAAGAUUAAAACUCAAAGGAAUUGACGGGGACCCGCACAAGCGGUGGAUGAUGUGGAUUAAUUCGAUGCAACGCGAAGAACCUUACCUGGUUUUGACAUGUGCGGAAUCCUCCGGAGACGGAGGAGUGCCUUCGGGAGCCGUAACACAGGUGCUGCAUGGCUGUCGUCAGCUCGUGUCGUGAGAUGUUGGGUUAAGUCCCGCAACGAGCGCAACCCUUGUCAUUAGUUGCCAUCAUUCGGUUGGGCACUCUAAUGAGACUGCCGGUGACAAGCCGGAGGAAGGUGGGGAUGACGUCAAGUCUUCAUGGCCCUUAUGACCAGGGCUUCACACGUCAUACAAUGGUCGGUACAGAGGGUAGCCAAGCCGCGAGGCGGAGCCAAUCUCACAAAACCGAUCGUAGUCCGGAUUGCACUCUGCAACUCGAGUGCAUGAAGUCGGAAUCGCUAGUAAUCGCAGGUCAGCAUACUGCGGUGAAUACGUUCCCGGGUCUUGUACACACCGCCCGUCACACCAUGGGAGUGGGGGAUACCAGAAGUAGGUAGGGUAACCGCAAGGAGUCC